UGCGUAGGCGGAUUAAUAAGUCAGUGGUGAAAACCUGCAGCUUAACUGUAGAACUGCCAUUGAUACUGUUAGUCUUGAGUACGGUCAAGGUAGGCGGAAUGUGUAAUGUAGCGGUGAAAUGCUUAGAUAUUACACAGAACACCGAUUGCGAAGGCAGCUUACUGGGCCAUUACUGACGCUGAUGCACGAAAGCGUGGGGAGCGAACAGGAUUAGAUACCCUGGUAGUCC
rnacentral:rRNA from 1 species